CAGGGAGACAACAAAAUGUUUAAUAUUAUUAUUUUGUCACCUUAGGUCGAUCGGUAUCUCACAUUCUUAUUUGUUAAGAAUUUCAUUUCCUAAGUUUUUCUAGGUCACACCCAUUAUUUUUCCUGGGCCAUUAGCUCAGGUGGUUAGAGCGCACCCCUGAUAAGGGUGAGGUCCCUGGUUCAAGUCCAGGAUGGCCCAUAUCUCUAUGUUGGGGGUAUAGCUCAGUUGGUAGAGCGCCUGCUUUGCAAGCAGGAUGUCAGCGGUUCGAGUCCGCUUACCUCCACUGAUUACCACCUCUUCCAUAACCGGUAGAAAGGAAAUGUUUUGAGUUGUGAUCAUUAUUCUGAACGAAUCUAGCUUCCUAAUGAAAUCAUUAAGAUGCUGGACUCAUUGAAUUAAUUUCAUUGUUUUCAGAGAACCUUGACAACUGCAUAGAUUAUUUUUAAAGACAAUAAGCAUCUUUAAUGAUGCAGAUUUAUUAUUUGUGCGAAUGCAUUAAUAACAAUUCUAUUAAGCUGAUGCUUCAAUUUUUGAAGUUAUU
rnacentral:tRNA from 1 species